GGAUUAGAUACCCCAUUAUGCUUAGCCUUAAACCUAAAUAAUUUCCUAACAAAAUUAUUCGCCAGAGAACUACAAGCCAGAGCUUAAAACUCAAAGGACUUGGCGGUGCUUUAUACCCGCCUAGAGGAGCCUGUUCUAUAAUCGAUAAACCCCGAUAAACCUUACCACUCUUUGCCAACUCAGCCUAUAUACCGCCAUCUUCAGCAAACCCUAAAAAGGAGCAAAAGUAAGCUUAAUCAUCACCAUAAAAACGUUAGGUCAAGGUGUAGCCUAUAGAGUGGAAAGUAAUGGGCUACAUUUUCUACUUUAGAACACACGAAAGCCCCUAUGAAACCCUAGGAGCCAAAGGAGGAUUUAGCAGUAAAUUAAGAAUAGAGUGCUUAAUUGAACAAGGCCAUGAAGCACGCACACACCGCCCGUCGCCCUCCUCA
rnacentral:rRNA from 1 species